rnacentral:lncRNA from 1 species
AUAAAUAUGUAUAUAGUUGGACCGGACUACUAUUAGUAGUAAAAUUCUAUUGUUGCUACUAGUUUUUUAGCCUUUGGAUCAACUCUUUUCAUUAUUUCUAAUCAUUGGAUUAAAUAUUAUAAUCCAGUGGAGAUCACUCAACCCUAGGGACCACUCAACUCUAUCCGACUAAUAUCAUCCCGAUCCUAUAAUUUUUCAUCGAAUGGUUAAAAACUUGAUAGUAAAAAAAGCGUUUUACUAUUAAUAGUAUUCCAGCCUAAUUCUAUAUAUAUAUAUAUAUAUAUAUAGAGUCCGGCUACUAUACUCUUAUGAGUAUAGAGCAUCUUGUACUUAUAAAUUUUUUGCCAUUAGAUCUACCCUUUAAUCAUUUUCACCCGUUAGAUUAUACUAUUCAACUAACCACCCACUCAACCCUAGGGAGCCCACUAUCAACCUAACCGUAACCACUCUCAUCCUAACCGCACAUUUUUUUAUCCGAAGGCUAAAAACUUAUGAGUACAAGGAGCUUUAUACUCAUAAGAGUAUAGUAGCCCCAGCCUACAUAUAUAUAUAUAUUAGAAUAGAUAAUAUACUGUCGUCUUAUUCAUUUAGAUGAUGAAUUAAGCUACAAUUUGAGACAACUAGACUUUUUAAACAAAAAAUAAGACACACUA